rnacentral:rRNA from 1 species
AUUGAACGCUGGCGGCAGGCCUAACACAUGCAAGUCGAGCGAGCGGCGGACGGGUGAGUAAUGUAUGGGGACUGCCCGAUAGAGGGGGAUAACUACUGGCAACGGUGGCUACUACCGCAUACUAUCGGAUAACCCAUAUGGUAUUAGCUAGUAGGUGGGGUAAAGGCUCACCUAGGCGACGAUCUCUAGCUGGUCUGAGAGGAUGAUCGGCCACACGGGGACUGAGACACGGACCAGACGCCUACGGAGGCAGCAGUGGGGAAUAUUGCACAAUGGGCGAAGACCUGAUGCAGCCAUGCCGCGUGUGUGAAGAAGGCCUUAGUGUUGUAAAGUACUUUCAGCGGGGAGGCGUUACCCGCAGAAGAAGCACCGGCUAACUCCGUGCCAGCCGCCGCGGUAAUUC